UACCGCUUGCCGUGUAAGUUGCUCUGGAUAAGAGCAUCUGCUAAAUGACGUAAA
rfam:Salmo salar isolate Sally breed double haploid chromosome ssa10, whole genome shotgun sequence.